AUGCUCACUUUGGCAGCACAUAUUCUAAAAAUUUGGAAUGAUACAGAGAAGCUUAGCAUGGCCCCUGUGCAUUGAUGACACGCAAAUUUGUGAAGCGUUCCAUAUUUUU